GUGUCUAUUGAAAGGAGAGACGGUUAGCACUCCCCUUGACAAGGAUGGAACACAAUAAAAUGGUCGAGGCACCUUGACCAACAUUUUUU